rnacentral:lncRNA from 1 species
AAAGAGAAGCCAUGGCAGAGGGUCUGCUGAAGAGCAAGGGAUGAUACUGAGGGAUUAGAUUUAGUGGAAAUGUCAAGUCCUGCAGUUAGCCUACCCGCUUCCCCAGCUGGGGUACCCUGUGGGUUCUCAGUGAUCUUCCAUUUCCUCCUCCCAGCUCUCCCAAUGAGACCACAGAUAGCUGUCUCUCCACUUCCUGGGCAUUUUGUUUGUUAUUUUGUUACUUUUAUACCCUCCGAGUCCAAUGCACUCAAGUAUAGAGCCAUCCACUGCAACAGGGGAAUCCAACAGUCUGUCCUCCCUUCCCAGCAGGUAUCAGUUACCAAUAGCUCUUCAGUAAAGGGUUAGGCCUAAACAGCACCGCCCCUAUUAUGUUGUAAAAUAUGGCUGGUGGGUACUCAGUGAAUGCAACAGACAUAUCAAAUCCAAAAGGCAGCAUUUCGCAGCAUGCUUCCCCAUCCUCUGCGCCCUCACCCCUUAUCUCCCUGGGAGCUGUGCUAUAGGGAGUCCUUAAAGCAAUUUCCAUGCACUCUCAGUAGGUGUAGCCCCUUUUAGCUCUGCUCUGUGGUUUUUUGAAUGCCUCCUACCAGCAACUCUGUGUAUAUAACCAGCUGAGAAAAAUCAUCUCCAAACCUGCAAUAGCUAGGUGACUUUGAAGCCACCUGUACACAAGGCCCCACUUCCAACAUUUCCCCUGGAAGUGUAUAGAGACUGGGUAUGAAGAGCAAAAAUACCAACUAUGGUGGGACCUAUAUCAUCAUUGUAAAGAUACCAAUAUCAUUAUUAUGUCUACUUUAAGUCAGAACCAGAAUUUUCUCACAGCUGUCUCUCUUCACAUUCCCUGGGGUGUUCUCUCUAGAAACACCAGAAACCAGAGAGGGUGAUUGAAAUUUUGGCAGUGUGUCUGUGUAGGGCUAGGACUAAUUUAAUGGUGAAAAUGAUGGUAUAAUCCUUCCUUAAAGAAUAAAAAGGAAUUUUCCCAACAUUGCAGGAGCAUCCUAAACAAGUGAUGGCAGACACAGGCUGAGCCUUGUUCUAUAUUAAAAUCUCCCCUUUGUGCAUAUGCUGAAUUCAUUCUUUGUUUGGGAUUUGGGUGCCGAGGAAAGCAAGUGCCCUCUUUAGUCCUUAAAUCAGCAUGGGCUGCUGGAAGGCAAGGACAAGAGGUUUAAUUCCAUCUCUAUGCCUCUAAUAUGGAGUUCUCUGAAUUUGAUUCCAAUAUUUGUUGAGAUUUCCCAGGCACUGGAUGCAGCCUUUGACUAUGAAGGUUUCAACACGUUGAGAAGCCCCAUGGAAAGGAUGAGAGACCGAGAUAAGAGUCAGAGAAUUAAUCUAUUUUCGCUCCCUUGGCUGUGCGGAAUUCAGUAUUAUCUGCUGAGGGAAUCAUUUUAUUUUAAAAUUAGACUUCAUUAUUAAUACUGAUAAACUGGGAAAUAACAAAGCCUGGCAUAGAUUCACCUAUUUUGCAUUGCUGCUGGUUUACAUUCAUGCUGCUAUCAGCUCAUAAAUUAGCAUAUCUAAUAUUUAAAUCAACAUUGCUCUGCAGUGCUGUUGAAUGACUUUUGGGGCAGUUACCCAAUCUAUAAGAUACUUCCUUUUUAUUUUAGUAUUUUUAUUUGGUUUUAUUACUUACUUAUUUUGAGACUAGGCUGCAUGUAUACCAACCAGGCUAGUCUCAUGAUGAGGAAGACCUUGAACUUGUGAUCUUCUGCCUCUACUUCUCAAGGGAGUGCUGGGAUUCGGGCACGCUCUUUAGGGACUGUUUUAUGUAGUUAUGGGGAAUGAACCUGGGGCAUCCUGAAUGCUAGGUGAACAUUCUACCAAGUGAGCUACAUCCCAUGUCCAUAAUGUUUCCUUCUUUUGAUACAUAUGUGUGUGUAUAUAUAAUAUCAGAUGUGGCAUAGACAGAUAGAAGGAUAGAUAGAUAGAUAAUAUCAUAUGUGGCAUAGAUAGAUAGAUAGAUAGAUAGAUAGAUAGAUAGAUAGAUAGAUAGAUAGAUAGAUAUUAUAAGGGUGACAACAUUGGAAUAUUAUGUUAUUUGGAAUUGGUUGCAAAGCACAUUUUUAAGCCACAUAAAAAAUUGACUUCAAGAUUUCGUUAUUGUCUUAGUUAGGGUUUUGUUGCUGUGAACAGACACCAUGUCCAAGGCAAGUCUUAUAU